GUCGUCAUAAGACAUAAAAUGUGUCGGUGCGAUGUUAAACCCAACCAAAAAAAUUAUAUAUAAAUAAAAUAUAAAGUAUUCAUAAGUAAUAAAUGAAAAACCAUAGAUAAAAUAUUUGGUGCAGUUUUCGAUGUUUUCUUAUGUAAAAUCUUGAUUUUCGACGGAGUUUAUAAGAUUAUAAUGAAUUAAAUCGGCUAAAGCAAAUUCUAAAAAUGCUUGACUGCGGAUCAGGACUGACUGAUAUCAUUCAGGAAUUAAUAAAGAUGUUUUUCGUUUAUGUUAUGAAUUAUUUUAUAACUAGAAACUUUCCAGUUUUUAUACAAGUUGACGUUAAGAUUAAUUCAGAUAUAUAGAAACAUACGUUUAUUAUUUAGCUAUAGGUCUGGUACCACGUAACUAUCUAGAAAAUCAUCAGCCCGGAUGGGAAAAAGAUUCUAUAGGAUAUCAUGCAGACGACGGCUUGUUGUAUUGUGAAAGUGGUUCUGGGAUGAGAUUUGGACCAAUGUGCAGUGUUGGUGACAGGAUAGGUUGUGGGAUAACAGAUUUAAGAUUGGAGAAAGAAUCUUCACAUACGAUGGUCUACAAUACUUUGCUGUUGGGAUGCACUCUGCUGGUGAGAAAGUCAAGGUUAUUCUUGACGCAAAGAUGCCAGGGGAGUGAAUGAAUUAGCAACUGUCAACGGAGUUUCAAACAAUUGAGAUACAAGACAUUUAUUUACAACCAUUGUCUAGAUUACGACUAUAGUAACAUUUUCCAUGUAUAUUCGUAGAGCCACGUCCGUUUUAUGUCAUACUACUUUUGCACGUUUGUGCAGGAUGAUCAUGGUCUGCAUUGAUCGAUAAUCAGUCAGUAAAUAUCUCUUUAAAUAAUAAGUGGUGCUUGCUCAAUUGAAUGAUGAAUUAGUCCAUUUUAGAUAUGUAGCAGGGUAAAGGUUAAUAUCAUUUAAAAUUAAAGGUAAUGAAAAAUGUUUGCAUCAUACUUAGAGGUUCGCAUCUUAAAGAAAGUAAGAACCAUUUUAUUACCUGUCUUAAAUAUUCAAACAAUGUAAACUGAUAAAAAAGACUCAAUAGUAACGAUUGUUACUAAAAAUAAACUUAGGCACAAUGGAAACUGUUAUUUAAAGUUCUUUAUUAUUUUUUUUUGAAAUGCAACAUACCUACAAAGCAGUCCUUAUUACUAAAACUCUUUUCAUGUUGAGAUGUCCCUUCUACUUGAGCUAUGUUUGCUGAAUGUCACAAAAAUACAAAUUAAUGUGUUACCUUUCUGUGAAAACAAAAGUUAUGCUCUGUAAAAGGUAAAUACUAUUGAAUGAUAAAUUAUGUUUAUACCUGACACCUUUUUCAAUUAUUUAGAUCUUUAAUGAUUCAGUUCUUCACAGGAAGCAGGAAGAUGUCGACAUACUGCUAAAAUUGAAGCUUUGUCUGUAACAGUGGAGAUACCAAACAGCUAUAACGAGAAUCAUGCCAGAUUUUCUAAAUUCUCUACAGACCAAAUAAUGAAAUCUGUUUGUUCAAAAGCAAUCAUAUAUUUGUUUGACAAAUAUGAGUAUCAUAUACAUUUUCUGGUAGAAUGUUACAUAUUAUUAAUACAUACAUGGAAACAAUACGCAGUAAAACAUUUUCUGCGUACACGACUGCUAAGCGCUGUGUUCAUCAGGGCAGAUCCUUGGUCCUCUUUUAUCUUAAGGCAUUGUAAAUUUCAAAGUUAUUACUACGGAUUCUGAAUGUAAAUUGAUUACAUAUACUGAUGAAAGUAGAACAAUUUUACCUCAUAAGGUGUUAUUUUAACUGAACAUAGAAAAAUGCCAGAGUCGUGUUCCUCCUGGCUAGUCGACAAUAAGUUGUCCUUCCAUCUUCGGAAAAAAUGUGUGUGUGUGUGUUAUUUCUGUAUAAAAUUAAAACCAGUAAAGAAUUUUACAAUUGUCUUUAACUGAUGUGUUAAUGAGUCAAUCUUUAUAUUGAUAAUAUAUUUUUCGUGCGAAUCUACUCUAAACAAUAUUCUAAAGGUGGUAAAUUCCCGUCUUGGAUUUAUGUAUAAUAGACAAGCUAGUUUUUAGCUCAUCUGAUUUUUUGAAAAAAAAUGAUGAGUUAUUGUCAUCACUUGAGCGGUUGUCGGCGUCGGCGUCGGCGUCGGCGUUGCCUGGUUAAG
rnacentral:lncRNA from 1 species